CAGUCGAGCGGCAGCGGGAGGUGCUUGCACCUCGCCGGCGAGCGGCGGACGGGUGAGUAAUGCAUAGGAAUCUGCCCGGUAGUGGGGGAUAACCUGGGGAAACUCAGGCUAAUACCGCAUACGUCCUACGGGAGAAAGCAGGGGAUCUUCGGACCUUGCGCUAUCGGAUGAGCCUAUGCCGGAUUAGCUAGUUGGUAGGGUAAUGGCCUACCAAGGCGACGAUCCGUAGCUGGUCUGAGAGGAUGAUCAGCCACACUGGGACUGAGACACGGCCCAGACUCCUACGGGAGGCAGCAGUGGGGAAUAUUGGACAAUGGGCGAAAGCCUGAUCCAGCCAUGCCGCGUGUGUGAAGAAGGCUUUCGGGUUGUAAAGCACUUUCAGUGGGGAAGAAAGCCUGUCGGCUAAUACCCGGCAGGAACGACAUCACCCACAGAAGAAGCACCGGCUAACUCCGUGCCAGCAGCCGCGGUAAUACGGAGGGUGCGAGCGUUAAUCGGAAUUACUGGGCGUAAAGCGCGCGUAGGCGGCGUGAUAAGCCGGUUGUGAAAGCCCCGGGCUCAACCUGGGAACGGCAUCCGGAACUGUCAGGCUAGAGUGCAGGAGAGGAAGGUAGAAUUCCCGGUGUAGCGGUGAAAUGCGUAGAGAUCGGGAGGAAUACCAGUGGCGAAGGCGGCCUUCUGGACUGACACUGACGCUGAGGUGCGAAAGCGUGGGUAGCAAACAGGAUUAGAUACCCUGGUAGUCCACGCCGUAAACGAUGUCGACUAGCCGUUGGGAGC
rnacentral:rRNA from 1 species